rnacentral:rRNA from 1 species
AAACCGGUACCCAGUUCGGAUUGUAGGCUGCAACUCGCCUACAUGAAGUCGGAGUUGCUAGUAAUCGCGGAUCAGAAUGCCGCGGUGAAUGCGUUCCCGGGUCUUGUACACACCGCCCGUCACACCAUGGAAGUUGGGGGCGCCCGAAGUUGGUCGAGGAAUAGAUUACCUAAGGCGAAACCAAUGACUGGGGUGAAGUCGUAACAAGGUAAC